rnacentral:rRNA from 1 species
AACGAACGCUGGCGGCAGGCUUAACACAUGCAAGUCGAGCGCCCCGCAAGGGGAGCGGCAGACGGGUGAGUAACGCGUGGGAAUCAACCCAUCUCUACGGAAUAACGCAUGGAAACGUGUGCUAAUACCGUAUACGUCCUUCGGGAGAAAGAUUUAUAGGAGAUGGAUGAGCCCGCGUUGGAUUAGCUAGUUGGUGGGGUAAAGGCCUACCAAGGCGACGAUCCAUAGCUGGUCUGAGAGGAUGAUCAGCCACACUGGGACUGAGACACGGCCCAGACUCCUACGGGAGGCAGCAGUGGGGAAUAUUGGACAAUGGGCGCAAGCCUGAACCAGCCAUGCCGCGUGAGUGAUGAAGGCCCUAGGGUUGUAAAGCUCUUUCACCGGUGAAGAUAAUGACGGUAACCGGAAAAGAAGCCCCGGCUAACUUCGUGCCAGCCGCCGCGGUAAGAC